GUGCUCUCGGGCGAGCUCUCCAGCCGCGGCCCCCGCCCCUGCGCUGUCGGGCGGGGAGGUCGGAAACCCCCUGGCGAGACCACGGGCGGACGCUUCCCGAAGAGCUGCCUGGGCCGCAGCCGCGGAAGCUGCGUUCUGGGGAGCGGGGAGCGUGCUCUGGCGCCCUCGGGCCGCUGCUGGAAGCCAGAACCGAGCCCGGGCCGCUGCCCCUCACCGGACGCCGCGCGCCACCGGCCCUCCGCGGGGCAGGGGCUGCUGCGAGCUCGCCGGGCGCCCUUUAGACGCAUUUAAGGAAAUCUGUUUCUCUUUUGGAUCACUAGCUGCAAAUUAAGCUAACAGAACAGAAGCUCAGCUGGUCACACACAGCAACAAAUACAGACUUUAUAAAGUUCAGAAAAGUUACCAAACAGUGGUAACCAUAACAAGUACCAACAAUGAACUAUGGGGAGGGAGGAGAAUCUGAUUUCCAGAGUUACCACAUUAUAAUACUAUUCAAAAUGUCACAUUUUUAGCAAAGAUUACAGGACAAGGAAAAACCAGAAAAGUAUGGCCCAUACACAGGUAAAAAAAGAAAUUAAUAGAAACUACCCCUGAAGAAGCACAGACUUCGGAUGUACAAAACAAAGACUUUUCAUCAACUCUUUUAGAUAUGCUAGAAGAGCUAAAGGAAACCAUGGACAGAGAACAAAAAAAUUAGGAAAGCAAUGUCUCAUCCAAUACAGAAUAUCAAUAAAGAGAUUGAAAUUGUAGAAAAGAACCAAAUAGAAAUUCUGGAGUUGAAAAGUAUAUAACUAAAACUGAAAAUUCACUGGAGGUAUUCAGCAGCAGACUGGAGAAGUCAGAAGAAAGAAUCAACAGGCUUCAAGAUAGGUCAAUUAAGAUUAUACAGUCUGAGGAGCAGAAAGGAAAAAGAAUGAAGAAAAAUGAACAGAGCAUAAAAGACUUCUGGGACUCUAUCAAGCAUACCAGUAUAUGCAUGAGGGGAGUCCCAGAAGGAGAAGAAAGAGAGAAAGGGACAUAAUAUUUGAAGAAAUAAUGGUAGAAAAUGUCCCAGCUUUGAUGAAAUACAUGAAUCUAGAUAUUCAAGAGGCUCAAAGAACCCUAAAUAGGGUAAACUCAAAAAGACCCACACCGGAAUGCAAAAGUGAGCUGGGUGUGGUGGCACGUGCCUGUGGUCCCAGCUACUCGAGAGGCUAAGGCAGGAAAAUCACUUGAACCCAGGAGGCAGAGAUUGCAGUGAGCCGGGAUUGCGCCAGCGCACUCCAGCUGGGCGACAGAGCGAGAUUCCAUCUCGAAAAAAAAAAAAAAAAAAACUAUUGCUGCAGUCAUUCAGAUGGAAAUGGGGAAAGAAUAAUAUUAACUGAUUUCAAAAAGGACUUGAAGAUGUGAAUCAUCUAUUUUGCUGAAGAAAUCUUAACUCUUUGAAAUUACUUUUUGUUGCUGUUGUCAUACUCUUAGGUGCCAAACUGCGGUAAAUUUUUAAUCAGUGAAGUGGAAGCAUGUGUUUUGUUGUUUUGGGAAUUUUUAUCAAGUAUCUUCAGAGAAGAUUAUUUCCUGCUUUGUCUUCAAAAACUGGAAAGGAAGGGUCAAAGAAAAGACAGUAGCUGGCCGGUCAUGGUGGCUCAUGCCUGUAAUCCCAACACUUUGGGAGGCUGAGGCGGGCAGAUCACCUGAGGUUGGGAGUUCGAGGCCAGCCUGACCAACGUGGAGAAAUGCCAUCUCUACUAAAGAUGCAAGGAUUGGCCGGGCGUGGUGGCCGCGUGCCUGUGAUCCCAGCUGCUCAGGAGGCUGAGGCAGGAGAAUCGCUUGGACCUGGGAGGUGGAGGUUGCGGUGAGCUGAGAUCACGCCAUUGCACUCCAGCCUGGGCAACAAGCGAAACUCUGUCUCAAAAAAAGAAAAGACAGUAGCUUAUGUUCAUGUCAAGCACCUCUCAUCACAGUCUAGUUCCAAGGAAAAAUUCCAGCAUUUUCUACAUUGGGUGCUGCGUCAUCUGAAAUCGGCACAUUCCGUGGAGGAAGGAGUCCUGCUUUGUUGCAUGUAUCCUAGGGUUUAAUGUUGGUAAAUGAGUCACUCUAGCAUUUGUAGAAGGCUCCCUGAGACUCCUGCAGCAGUCGACCAAGCCCAAGGACAUAAUUGAAUCUGGAGAGUCCUGGGGCCUUGUUUUGAAAAAGACUUGAAAUACACAUAGGAAGAAAGGCAUAAAAAUAAAUGUUCACUUGUCUCUGCUGUGAGUAUGUGUUUCAACUUUUCAGUGAUGGCUUUGAGAAUUCUCAAACUUGACUGGCUCUAAGUGUAUCUGGUGGCUUUUGUAUCGUAACCUGAAACUGGCUUAGUACUUUUUCCUAAAAGCUCAGGAUUUGAGAAUGAGGACCCCUUCGCCAGGAAAACAUGUAUACACUCAAAAUUUUGCUUGCAGUUCUAGGGUGUUUAGACCCUUCUCAGAUACCUGUGCAUCUUAUGGGUUUUGUUUUUCUCUUUGAGACAGUCUCACCCUGUUGCCCAGGCUGGAGUGCAGUGGCAUGGUCUCAGCUCAUUGCAGCCUCCGCCUCCUGGGUUCAGGUGGUUCUGCCUCAGCCCCUUGAUCGGCUGGGAUUGCAUGCAUGUGCCACCAUGCCCGGCUGAUUUUUGUAUUUUUAGUGGAGAUGGAGACAGAGUUUCACCAUGUUGGCCGGGCUGGUCUCGGGCUCCUGACCUCAGGUGAUCCGCAAGCCUGGGCCUCCCGGGGUGCUGGGAUUACAGGCGUGGGCAACUGCGCCCAGCCCUUGCGUACCUUAUGUGAGGAAGUCCUGCUCAAUCAGGAUCGGUCACGCAGGCCCUGAUCUUGCUACUCCGGUUCCAUGUCCUAUGGAAGACCAAAGUUUACCAAGAUAGAUUUUUCCCUUCAUAGUGGCAGAUACUGUUAACCCCUGCACCAUCUAUAACUCAGAAAUCCCCACCAUUUCUUACCCUGGGCUUCAGAAUAGAAUUGCCUGGUUUCUCUGAUGAUCAGCACGCUUCCUUAAAACCCAAAUCAGCAAGGAAUGAACAAUUUUGUUUGGCAUGGAUGAAAUUAGCACUGUUUGGCUCGGUAGGCCCCAGACAGGCAGGCACCUUAAUUUUUUCCUUGCAUAUUCUAGUCUUCAGAAGCAUUGCCUUUUGUCCUACUGGUAGUGACAUAGAUCAAUAACAGGGCAUCUGGGGAUUUUAAUCCUGAAAACAGUGAGUCUGAUACUGCUUGUGUUUUUUUCAUCAGUGUCCACCCCGAGUGGGUCUUCCUGCUAUUCUCUUCACUUAGUUGCCCUUCACUUGCCAUCUGAGCAAUUGGCAAGGAUGUGCCAGGCCUAGGUUAAACUUGGAAACAUGCUUGACCAUUCUAUUCCCUGGUCCUUUAAGAUCAGUUUGGCUGCAAUUUUGGCUCCUUGGACCCUCAAGCAUAGCUGGUAAAUCAAGUUAGAGAUGUAACUGCCUUAAAACGUGCCAGCUUAGGCUGGGCGCGGUGGCUCACGCCUGUAGUCCCAGCACUUCGGGAGGCUGGGGCAGGCGGAUCACCUGAGGUCAGGAGUUCGGGACCGGCCUGACCAACGUGGAGAAAUUCUGUCCCUACUAAAAAUGCAAAAUUGGCCGGGUGUGGUGGUGCAUGCCUGUAAUCCCAGCUACUUGGGAGGCUGAGGCAAGAGAAUUGCUUGAACCCAGGGAGGUGGAGGUUGCAGUGAGCUGAGAUCACACCAUUGCACUCCAGCUUGGGCAACAAAAGCAAAACUCUGUCUCAAAAAAAAAAAAAAAAAGUGCCAGCGUAUGAGGUAAUUAGAUUGGUUCUCUCCAGAGGUAACCUGCCAAGAAGAGAUGCUAUAGAUGUUACUCGUAUACUGUAAAACAUUGUGAAAUCAGAUUACUUUAAAAUGAUGUAUUACAAAGUUUUGCAAAAAAGCAGUUGUGACUGUGGAAGCCCAAGGCUUAUAUCCCAGCUCUGUCUUAUACUAAAUAUGGGUACAG
rnacentral:lncRNA from 1 species